UACCAGCACCCCGAGUGGUCGGCACGAUUAUUGGGCCUAAAGCAUCCGUAGCCGGUUCUACAAGUCUUCCGUUAAAUCCACCUGCUCAACAGUUGGGCUGCGGAGGAUACUAUAGAGCUAGGAGGCGGGAGAGGCAAGCGGUACUUAGUGGGUAGGGGUAAAAUCCGUUGAUCCAUUGAAGACCACCAGUGGCGAAGGCGGCCCCCUGGUUGGAUACUGACGCUGAUACGCGAAAGCGUGGGGAGCAAACAGG
rnacentral:rRNA from 1 species